UACGAAGGGGGCUAGCGUUGCUCGGAAUCACUGGGCGUAAAGGGUGCGUAGGCUGGGUUUUAAGUCAGGGGUGAAAUCCUGGAGCUCAACUCCAGAACUGCCUUUGAUACUGGCGAUCUUGAGCCGGGAGAGGUGAGUGGAACUGCGAGUGUAGAGGUGAAAUUCGUAGAUAUUCGCAAGAACACCAGUGGCGAAGGCGGCUCACUGGCCCGGUACUGACGCUGAGGUGCGAAAGCGUGGGGAGCAGACGAGUA
rnacentral:rRNA from 1 species